CGUUUAGGCAGUGAGAGUAGGUAAAUCCGCUCUCAUAAUGCUGAGGCGUGAUGGGGAAGGUUCCACGGAACCGAAGUACAUGAUUCCACGCUGCCAAGAAAAGCGUCUAGAGAGAGAAGUAGUGCCCGUACCGCAAACCGACACAGGUAGGUGAGGAGAGAAUCCUAAGGCCGGCGGAAGAAUUACAGUUAAGGAACUCGGCAAAUUGACCCCGUAAGUUCGCGAGAAGGGGUGCCUACGAGAGUAGGCCGCAGAGAAUAGGCCCAAGCAACUGUUUAGCAAAAACACAGGUCUCUGCUAAAGCGUAAGCUGAUGUAUAGGGGCUGACGCCUGCCCGGUGCUGGAAGGUUAAGGGGAACACUUAGCGCAAGCGAAGGUGUGAACUUAAGCCCCAGUAAACGGCGGCCGUAACUAUAACGGUCCUAAGGUAGCGAAAUUCCUUGUCAGGUAAGUUCUGACCCGCACGAAUGGCGUAAUGACUUGGGCACUGUCUCAACUGUAAAUCCGGCGAAGUUGUAGUGCGAGUGAAGAUGCUCGCUACCCGCGAUUGGACGGAAAGACCCCGUAGAGCUUUACUGUAGCUUAGCAUUGAGUUUUGGUAUUGUCUGUACAGGAUAGGUGGGAGACUAGGAAACCAGGGCGUCAGCCUUGGUGGAGUCAACCUUGGGAUACCACCCUGACAGUACUGAAAUUCUAACUGGCGGCCAUGAAUCUGGUCACAGGACAUUGUUAGGUGGGCAGUUUGACUGGGGCGGUCGCCUCCUAAAAAGUAACGGAGGCGCCCAAAGGUUCCCUCAGAACGGUCGGAAAUCGUUCGAAGAGUGCAAAGGCAGAAGGGAGCCUGACUGCGACACCCACAAGUGGAGCAGGGACGAAAGUCGGGCUUAGUGAUCCGGUGGUACCUCGUGGGAGGGCCAUCGCUCAACGGAUAAAAGCUACCUCGGGGAUAACAGGCUGAUCUCCCCCAAGAGUCCACAUCGACGGGGAGGUUUGGCACCUCGAUGUCGGCUCGUCGCAUCCUGGGGCUGAAGUAGGUCCCAAGGGUUGGGCUGUUCGCCCAUUAAAGCGGCACGCGAGCUGGGUUCAGAACGUCGUGAGACAGUUCGGUCCCUAUCCGUCGCGGGCGUAGGAAAUUUGAGAGGAGCUGUCCUUAGUACGAGAGGACCGGGAUGGACUGACCUCUGGUGUACCAGUUGUUCCGCCAGGAGCACAGCUGGGUAGCUAAGUCGGGAAUGGAUAAACGCUGAAAGCAUCUAAGCGUGAAGCCAACCUCAAGAUGAGAUUUCCCAUAGCGUAAGCUAGUAAGAUCCCUUGAAGAACACAAGGUUGAUAGGUCGGGGGUGUAAGCAUGGUAACAUGUUCAGCUGACCGAUACUAAUAGAUCG
rnacentral:rRNA from 1 species